rnacentral:rRNA from 1 species
CCAUCUGGAAGAAUCUGGAGACAGGUGCUGCAUGGCUGUCGUCAGCUCGUGUCGUGAGAUGUUGGGUUAAGUCCCGCAACGAGCGCAACCCUUGCCUUUAGUUGCCAGCAGUUCGGCUGGGCACUCUAAAGGGACUGCCGGUGUUAAACCGGAGGAAGGUGGGGAUGACGUCAGGUCCUCAUGGCCUUUAUGACCAGGGCUACACACGUACUACAAUGGCCGAUACAAAGGGCAGCGACACUGCGAGGUGAAGCCAAUCCCGUAAAAUCGGUCUCAGUCCGGAUUGGAGUCUGCAACUCGACUCCAUGAAGUUGGAAUCGCUAGUAAUCGUGGAUCAGCAUGCCACGGUGAAUACGUUCCCGGGCCUU